rnacentral:lncRNA from 1 species
GGAAAACUGUUGGAUCGACUAUGGACAUUUUCUAUUUAUUUUUAUUUCUAUUUCUUAAUUUCUGUGUGUAUCUCAUGUUCAUGUAUCCUUGGAUCAAUCUUGCAAAAGAAAACUUUAUUUCAAAUUGAAAAUACUUAUUAUAUCUUUAGCAUUUAAAUUUGUUAAACUAUAAAUUGUCCUGGCCUUUUUCACAAGUAUGUUAGGAAAGUAAAGUCAACUUAACAUCGUGUUGUUAUAAAAUUAUGUAUUAUGUUGUAUUGAUGUCUUAUGAAAAGAAAAAU